AGCGAACGCUGGCGGCAGGCUUAACACAUGCAAGUCGAGCGGGCAUCCUUGUGGUGUCAGCGGCAGACGGGUGAGUAACGCGUGGGAACGUGCCCUUCGGUUCGGAAUAACUCAGGGAAACUUGAGCUAAUACCGGAUACGUGCGAGGGCAGAAAGGUUUAUCUGCCGAAGGAUCGGCCCGCGUCUGAUUAGCUAGUUGGUGAGGUUACGGCUCACCAAGGCGACGAUCAGUAGCUGGUCUGAGAGGAUGAUCAGCCACACUGGGACUGAGACACGGCCCAGACUCCUACGGGAGGCAGCAGUGGGGAAUAUUGGACAAUGGGGGCAACCCUGAUCCAGCCAUGCCGCGUGAGUGAUGACGGCCUUAGGGUUGUAAAGCUCUUUUCUCCGGGACGAUAAUGACGGUACCGGAGGAAUAAGCCCCGGCUAACUUCGUG
rnacentral:rRNA from 1 species